CCGAAAUAACGAAACUGGCAUUCACAGUGAUCUGCUGACAUAUUUUACGAUUUCUGAGAUCAUUGUGAAAGCUGAUUUCGUCCC
rnacentral:pre_miRNA from 1 species